GUCAUUUAAAAGAACUACAAUAGAAAACAGAACUUGUAAAGUUUUUUCAUUCGUUUUGCAAAUGUAAAUGUCUAAAUUUAGUAUUUAACGUAUUUAGCAUAUUGACUAUUGAUAAUGGACAGAUGGAAUAUUGGUCUGAAAUAUUGCUCCACCAAAUCACAGUGUCUAAUUGCCCCUAUAAUUAAGGCAAUUAUAAAAAGUAUAUGAGAACAUUUUCAACAUGUAAUACUAUGACAAGUACUUAUACUCCAACUAACUUUACGUACUUUUAACUAUAUUGGGUAAAAUAAAAAGGGACAAAAUUUACUGGCUUCUACCAAACUUGUUUUAUCACGAGAAUAACAACAGAAGUGUUUUUCCAAUUCUGUAUGAUCUUCCGUAAGUACGAGCGAGAUCAGUCUCAUGUCUUAUUAACAGAUCGUAGUGAGCCAAGGCAACUUUGAGCUUUUUAUUUAACCCCUUUACAACGCCAGUGAUGCUGGAACUGUGGCCUGUAUGUAGGGAGAGGGGGCGGGAAAGGAAUGUACCCUGUCUUUCUGAUUUUGGAUUCAUGGUUAUUAUCUUUUGAAAAACCAUUAUUAUUCUUGUUUAGAAAUACUAGUAUUAACAGCUGUUUUUCAAUAAGUUAUGGCAACAAAGGUUUAAUAAUUAAUAUUAUUUCGGCAGUCCCUCAAGAGAAAGGAGGAACUGCCGAAAACAUAUCAAGAACGAAAUACGCGUUGCCCAUACAACGCAAAAUUCCCAUUGGUCGAAAUCGAUAUGCCUGUCAAUCAAAUCUGAUAUGUAGUAAUUAUGCUAUAAAUAAUUUCCAGACUUGAAUGUUGAUUUUAUAAAUAAACAUGACAGGCUUAAAUGAGCCAUUGAUGUAUUGUCGGCAGUCCCUCCU